ACUCCUACGGGAGGCAGCAGUGGGGAAUAUUGCACAAUGGGGGAAACCCUGAUGCAGCCAUGCCGCGUGUGUGAAGAAGGGCCUUCGGGUUGUAAAGCACUUUCAGUAGGGAGGAAGGUAGUGUAGUUAACACCUGCACUAUUUGACGUUACCUACAGAAGAAGCACCGGCUAACUCCGUGCCAGCAGCCGCGGUAAUACGGAGGGUGCGAGCGUUAAUCGGAAUUACUGGGCGUAAAGCGCAUGCAGGCGGCCUGUUAAGUCAGAUGUGAAAGCCCGGGGCUUAACCUCGGAAUUGCAUUUGAAACUGGCAGGCUAGAGUCUUGUAGAAGGGGGGUAGAAUUUCAGGGUGUAGCGGUGAAAAUGCGUAGAGAUCUGAAGGAAUACCAGUGGCGAAGCGGCCCCCUGGACAAAGCUGACGCUCAGAUGCGAAAGGCUGGGGG
rnacentral:rRNA from 1 species